UACGGGGGGAGCAAGCGUUGUUCGGAUUUACUGGGCGUAAAGGGCGCGUAGGCGGCGCAACAAGUCACUUGUGAAAUCUCCGGGCUUAACCCGGAGCGGCCAAGUGAUACUGUCGUGCUAGAGUGCGGAAGGGGCUACUGGAAUUCUCGGUGUAGCGGUGAAAUGCGUAGAUAUCGAGAGGAACACCUGCGGCGAAGGCGGGUAGCUGGGACGUUACUGACGCUGAGGCGCGAAAGCGUGGGGAGCGAACAGG
rnacentral:rRNA from 1 species